rnacentral:rRNA from 1 species
UACGUAGGGGGCAAGCGUUGUCCGGAAUCAUUGGGCGUAAAGAGCGUGUAGGCGGCUCGAUAAGUCUGCUGUGAAAGUCCAGGGCUCAACCCUGGAAGGCCGGUGGAAACUGUCGGGCUAGAGUCCGGAAGAGGCGAGUGGAAUUCCCGGUGUAGCGGUGAAAUGCGCAGAUAUCGGGAGGAACACCAAUGGCGAAGGCAGUGUUCUGGGCCAGUACUGACGCUGAGGAGCGAAAGCGUGGGGAGCAAACAGG